GGGCCCCUAUGAUGUUUAGCACUGGGCUCUGACUUCACUUGAAGACACGGUGCCCCCCCAGGACCUUUGACACCUGGGGGUCUGAGGGGCCC
ensembl:snoRNA small nucleolar RNA SNORD88